rnacentral:rRNA from 1 species
AGAACGAACGCUGGCGGCAGGCCUCAAACAUGCAAGUCUAGGGGGUGUAGCAAUACAUCACCGGCGGACGGGUGCGUAACGCGUGGGAAUGUACCUAUUGGUUCGGAACAACUGAGGGAAACUUCAGCUAAUACCGGAUGAGCCCGAAAGGGGAAAGAUUUCUCGCCAAUAGAUCAGCCCGCGUCCGAUUAGCUAGUUGGUGGGGUUAAAGCCUACCAAGGCGACGAUCGGUAGCUGUUCUGAGAGGAAGAUCAGCCACACUGGGACUGAGACACGGCCCAGACUCCUACGGGAGGCAGCAGUUGGGAAUCUUGGACAAUGGGGGAAACCCUGAUCCAGCCAUGCCGCGUGAGUGAUGAAGGCCUUCGGGUUGUAAAGUCCUUUUAACGGGGAAGAUAAUGACGGUACCCGUAGAAUAAGCCCCGGCUAACUUCGUGCCAGCAGCCGC